AGUGAACGCUGGCGGUAGGCUUAACACAUGCAAGUCGAACGGCAGCACAGUAAGAUCUUGCUCUUACGGGUGGCGAGUGGCGGACGGGUGAGGAAUACAUCGGAAUCUACUUUUUCGUGGGGGAUCACGUAGGGAAACUUAAGCUAAUACCGCAUACGACCUACGGGUGAUAGCAGGGGAUCUUCGGACCUUGCGCGAUUGAAUGAGCCGAUGUUGGAUUAGCUAGUUGGCGGGGUAAAGGCCCACCAAGGCGAGGGUCCGUAGCUGGUCUGAGAGGAUGGUAAGCCGCAUUGGAACGUGGCCACGGACCAGAGUACUGCGGGAGGCACCAGUGUGCAACAGUGGACAAUGGGGGGAAGCAUUGCCCAGCCAUACCGCGUGUGUGAAGAAGGCCUUCGGUUUGUAAAGACCUUUUGUUGGGAGUGAAAAGCAGCAGGUUAAUACCCCGCUGUUCUGACGGUACCCAAAGAAUAAGCACCGGCUAACUUCGUG
rnacentral:rRNA from 1 species